GGUAUUGAUAUUGAUUAGAGGCCGUUGAAAUUCGGUCGCUGUAUUAAACUGUCGCUUCCGUAUAAUAGGGAUCUUUAAUUCGGUGGCGUGACGAAGACUGUUUUUUGAAAUCCGCGCCUCUGCGGAAAUCGGUGGGUGUGUCGUGGGUGGCUGAACGCGUAAUACAGUAUUAGAACCAUAUUAUAGAAUAGUGAGUUUAAACUCUUUGAAGUAAUAACAACAAUAAUUUAUAAUAGUAAUUUAUUACCGGUUUGCUCGUAAAAGAGGAGGUGACGGUGUUGGAGAUAAGUAUAUAAAACUGUUGGGCCUCACACAAAACGACUGUACUACAAGCCACUGUAAACUGUAAACUAUCUUUGAUUUUUAAGAACGUACUGGCAAUUAACAUGCCAUCUUUCUUUAUAGCUUAUUUACAACUAAGACUCGCUAAUCAGUGUCCGGUUCGACCCGCUCCACGUCUUUUGUAACUUGGUCUUCCCGCCUUAAACUUGGACGUUUCAAUUGGUCUUCUUGAAUACUAUAUUGU